rnacentral:rRNA from 1 species
GACGAACGUUGGCGGCGUGCUUAAUACAUGCAAGUCAACUGAAGCAGUGGUAGUAAUACUACUGUGGAGGUGGCGCACGGGUGAGUAACGCGUAGGUAAUCUGCCUUUGGGUCUGACAUAACUCCGAGAAAUCGAAGCUAAUAUCAGAUGAUGCAGCGGCUUGACAUCAAGACAGUUGUUAAAGCUUCGGCGCCCAAAGAUGAGCCUGCGUCCCANAGGUAGUUGGCGGAGUAAUAGCCCACCAAGCCACGAUGGGUAGCUGGUCUGAGAGGAUGAUCAGCCACACUGGAACUGAGACACGGUCCAGACUCCUACGGGAGGCAGCAGUAAGGAAUAUUGCUCAAUGGCCGAAAGGCUGAAGCAGCAACGCGCGUGAAGGAUGAAGGCCUUUUGUUGUAAACUUCUGUAGAGAGAAGAAAAACUACCAUUCUAUGGAGAUUGAUGGUAUCU